UACGUAGGGGGCAAGCGUUAUCCGGAAUCACUGGGUGUAAAGGGAGCGUAGACGGUGAUGCAAGUCAGAAGUGAAAGCCCGGGGCUCAACUCCGGGACUGCUUUUGAAACUGUGUGACUGGAGUGCAGGAGAGGUAAGCGGAAUUCCUGGUGUAGCGGUGAAAUGCGUAGAUAUUAGGAGGAACACCAGUGGCGGAGGCGGCUUGCUGGGCCUGUACUGACAUUGAGGCACGAAAGCGUGGGGAGCAAACAGG
rnacentral:rRNA from 1 species